rnacentral:rRNA from 1 species
GAUCAUGGCUCAGAUUGAACGCUGGCGGCAGGCCUAACACAUGCAAGUCGAACGGUAACAGGAAGCAGCUUGCUGCUUUGCUGACGAGUGGCGGACGGGUGAGUAAUGUCUGGGAAACUGCCCGAUGGAGGGGGAUAACUACUGGAAACGGUAGCUAAUACCGCAUAACGUCGCAAGACCAAAGAGGGGGACCUUAGGGCCUCUUGCCAUCGGAUGUGCCCAGAUGGGAUUAGCUAGUAGGUGGGGUAACGGCUCACCUAGGCGACGAUCCCUAGCUGGUCUGAGAGGAUGACCAGCCACACUGGAACUGAGACACGGUCCAGACUCCUACGGGAGGCAGCAGUGGGGAAUAUUGCACAAUGGGCGCAAGCCUGAUGCAGCCAUGCCGCGUGUAUGAAGAAGGCCUUCGGGUUGUAAAGUACUUUCAGCGGGGAGGAAGGGAGUAAAGUUAAUACCUUUGCUCAUUGACGUUACCCGCAGAAGAAGCACCGGCUAACUCCGUGCCAGCAGCCGCGGUAAUACGGAGGGUGCAAGCGUUAAUCGGAAUUACUGGGCGUAAAGCGCACGCAGGCGGUUUGUUAAGUCAGAUGUGAAAUCCCCGGGCUCAACCUGGGAACUGCAUCUGAUACUGGCAAGCUUGAGUCUCGUAGAGGGGGGUAGAAUUCCAGGUGUAGCGGUGAAAUGCGUAGAGAUCUGGAGGAAUACCGGUGGCGAAGGCGGCCCCCUGGACGAAGACUGACGCUCAGGUGCGAAAGCGUGGGGAGCAAACAGGAUUAGAUACCCUGGUAGUCCACGCCGUAAACGAUGUCGACUUGGAGGUUGUGCCCUUGAGGCGUGGCUUCCGGAGCUAACGCGUUAAGUCGACCGCCUGGGGAGUACGGCCGCAAGGUUAAAACUCAAAUGAAUUGACGGGGGCCCGCACAAGCGGUGGAGCAUGUGGUUUAAUUCGAUGCAACGCGAAGAACCUUACCUGGUCUUGACAUCCACGGAAGUUUUCAGAGAUGAGAAUGUGCCUUCGGGAACCGUGAGACAGGUGCUGCAUGGCUGUCGUCAGCUCGUGUUGUGAAAUGUUGGGUUAAGUCCCGCAACGAGCGCAACCCUUAUCCUUUGUUGCCAGCGGUCCGGCCGGGAACUCAAAGGAGACUGCCAGUGAUAAACUGGAGGAAGGUGGGGAUGACGUCAAGUCAUCAUGGCCCUUACGACCAGGGCUACACACGUGCUACAAUGGCGCAUACAAAGAGAAGCGACCUCGCGAGAGCAAGCGGACCUCAUAAAGUGCGUCGUAGUCCGGAUUGGAGUCUGCAACUCGACUCCAUGAAGUCGGAAUCGCUAGUAAUCGUGGAUCAGAAUGCCACGGUGAAUACGUUCCCGGGCCUUGUACACACCGCCCGUCACACCAUGGGAGUGGGUUGCAAAAGAAGUAGGUAGCUUAACCUUCGGGAGGGCGCUUACCACUUUGUGAUUCAUGACUGGGGUGAAGUCGUAACAAGGUAGCC